CUUGGAUAUGUGCAUCUGUAGUCCCAGCUACCAGGAAGGCUGAGGCAGGAGACUCACUUCAGAACUCCUGGGCUAUGUAAUGCACAGUGCAGAUUGGCUGUCUCCUCUAAGUUCGGCAUCAGUAGGGUGACCUCUUAGAAAUAAGGGAUCACCGGGUUGCCUAAGAAGGGGUGAACUGACCCAAGUCAGAUAUGGAGCAGAUCAAAAUUCCCAUGUUGAUCAGUAGUGGGAUCACACCUGUGAAUAACCACUACACACCAGCCUGGGCAACAUAGCAAGAUCCCAUUUCU
rnacentral:SRP_RNA from 1 species